UACGAAGGGGGCUAGCGUUGCUCGGAAUCACUGGGCGUAAAGCGCACGUAGGCGACUUUCUAAGUCAGGGGUGAAAUCCUGGAGCUCAACUCCAGAACUGCCUUUGAUACUGGAAAGCUUGAGUUCGGGAGAGGUGAGUGGAACUGCGAGUGUAGAGGUGAAAUUCGUAGAUAUUCGCAAGAACACCAGUGGCGAAGGCGGCUCACUGGCCCGAUACUGACGCUGAGGUGCGAAAGCGUGGGGAGCAAACAGG
rnacentral:rRNA from 1 species